rnacentral:rRNA from 1 species
GGCCUACGGGAGGCUGCAGUGGGGAAUAUUGGACAAUGGGCGCAAGCCUGAUCCAGCCAUGCCGCGUGAAUGAUGAAGGCCUUAGGGUUGUAAAGUUCUUUCACCGGAGAAGAUAAUGACGGUAUCCGGAGAAGAAGCCCCGGCUAACUUCGUGCCAGCAGCCGCGGUAAUACGAAGGGGGCUAGCGUUGUUCGGAAUUACUGGGCGUAAAGCGCACGUAGGCGGACAUUUAAGUCAGGGGUGAAAUCCCAGAGCUCAACUCUGGAACUGCCUUUGAUACUGGGUGUCUUGAGUGUGGAAGAGGUCAGUGGAAUUGCGAGUGUAGAGGUGAAAUUCGUAGAUAUUCGCAGGAACACCAGUGGCGAAGGCGGCUGACUGGUCCACAACUGACGCUGAGGUGCGAAAGCGUGGGGAGCAAACAGGAUUAGAUACCCCUGUAGUCAC